CUACGUGUUCUCUUGCUGCCUGUCCUAACUGCUUGAUGUUUGUAAGUGCCAGAUGUUCAUUGUAUGGCACUCUUGACAUUUGCUUCAAGCUCUUGAUUUUAUUUAUGUCUUCCUUUGUCUACAACUUGACAAGGGGUCACAUUCCUCUGUGUGUGUUCCUAUCAAGCUGAUAUUUUAUUUUGAAGUACUUGUGUGUCUGUGAAAGAAUGCAUCGCUCUCUCCUCCUCACUGUGUGUCAGGAAAACCGCGAAAGGUGAUGACAUCGGUUAAAAUCCAACACACACUGACAGCGAACUCUUUACGGAUACGAAAAUGUGCACAUCUUCCCUACUCCUCCACCCCUGUCCUCCAGCAGGAUGUCUGACAAGCAUUAUAAUCAGCAGGUGCUCACCUCACAGUAACGGAUGUUUGCUAGGGCGAACAUCCCACAGACAUCAGGAGUGACAGGAGUAUUUGUGACCUGACCACCCAGCUCGCUAUUUUACAAAGUUCGCUCUCCCAGCUGACAACUUUUCUCUGGUUUCACCACCUUUACAACAUCAUCUUGAAACAAGAACAGGUUGCAGACAGUCGUUGCUCGUGGAGACGAUGCAGGAAACAAGAACCAAAUGGCACAAUUGCUGUUGUGGAUGACCAUCGCCUUUUGUUGGAUGACAGUCGCCUCGGCGUGCAGUUGUGUGAUACCCAGGGAUGAAAACUACUGCAACAGUGAUAUCGUGUUUCGAGGAAGAGUUGUAGAUGAAUAUCCGGGAUCCCAUGCCAUCUGGAAGACGAACCUACGUUGUUGAAGUCGACAGAAUCUUCUGCUUAAACAGACGUUUGUUUGGAAGGAGAUUUAAUCUGACUACUGCACUUACAGCGCCGCUUGUGGAGCUUCCUUUCAAUUAAACACACCCUACGUCAUUGCUGCCGGCGAGAGGGAUGGACAGCUAUCGACUGGUUUGUGCUCAGGAAACGCUGGAUGGAACGGUCUUGAUGAAAAACGGAAAUUGUUUUUCACAAACCGACUGCGAAAAUUGUGUGCUUUGAACAAGCGCCUGGAAUAAAGUCACUUCUAGAAGGAGACAAACAGCACGUGCGCAUCACGUGACCUAGCCACGGUGUAACACGGCUAUCACGUGACGCCAUCGUAACCAGGGCAACCUCUUUUUGUCCUCAAUUAAAUAAACUUGGCAUUUGGUUGUU